rnacentral:lncRNA from 1 species
UCGGAAUGGUUUGAAGGAAGAAUUAAAGUACCAAACAGUUGCAGUGCUGAAAAGUCAAAGCUGAAUUCAGAAACAUCAACCACUCAACUAGAAAAGUCAACCAGUCAACCAAAAUGCUGAAAAAGUCAACCAGUCAACCAAAAAGUCAAUGUUGCUCGCCCGGGCGAUAGGCGCACGAAGCUUGGGCGAAAAUUGGGUGCCUGGGCCUUACAUGAAGGUCAAUUCUCGCUCGGGCGGCCUCCUUAGAUGCUUGGGCGACGAUUUUAGCGGACUGGGCUCUGUUUCUGCUUCGUUUUGAUUCUUUUGGAUCGGACCUUGCUUUGGAACGCCUCUGGCACUAUUUAAAGGACCCUGGGGCUCUAGGUUUUGCAUCCUUGGCAAAAGAAAGCAUAACAAUGCUGAUGGGAUCCUCCUUCUUCCAUCAAAUACACUCCUA